UGGGAAACUGUGUGGGGGGCACAUUCUGACAUCCUGGGGGUGGCAGAGCAGAGGAGCAGAGGGAGCGCGAGCUCUGUCAUCUGUCAGUCCCAGCAACACUUGGGGGGAUGUGGGGAGGUAUGGAGGCAGGGAGGGAGAAGGGUUUGUGCUGGUUUUUAACAUCUGUGUUGGGCGCUUUCCUGGAAGCUUCUCUGGCCAUCGACUUCUAAGGCCUCCCUAUGCCAGGGUUCCACAUAUGGGGUUUCUCUGCACCUGGAAUGAUUCUGAGACCAUGUGAGACGUCACUAGCCACAGCUGUUUUUAAAAAUAUUUGCACCUUAGAGGAAACAGUAGAAAGAUGUGGCAAGAUCAAUAUAAAUCCAUCCCUAUUUCAGGAAAAGUGGCUCAGUGCGCACCCACGGCCGCGGUGUCUCAAGCUGCCUUCUCUAGACGUGAGAUUCCCCAGCAAGGAGCUCCCUACCGACAGGCUCAGCAGAGGCUCAGGGGAGGCAGGGUGGGCAGGACAGGACAGGAAAGCAGGACAUGGUCUCAGCUGAGGCUCGCCCCAUCUGGCCCACAGGCAAGUUCCAGAGUGAGGGAUGUAGGAGUUCGUCCCCCACCUCGGCAAGGAGGCCAGUUGCCCCAGUCGGCCUAUGCAAUCUCCCGUGCGUCGACGGCGCCGGCUGAAACAGCAGUGCUGAGAUUCCUGGCGUCUUUCUGCCCCGGAAUCUCCCGGUCUGGCUCCCGGCUCCAGUCUCCCUCCCAAUCAGCUGAAUGGGCGACUCUGCCUUCUCGGAGCUCCAAAUGCCGACUAAAAGGGCACCCAGUCCCACCUACUCCGCACUGAGCACCGCCAUGCCGGGACGCCAGCAAAACAGCCACGCCGGACAAAAGAGUCGCGCUGGCGACCCGUGGGGCUCCUCCGCUGGGAAUCUCCUGGUCCAUAAGCCACAAAAAUUCAUCUGGAAGUCUGGGGUCCACUCACUCCCUGCGCCUUCACUGGGAGCUGCAACCCUGAGCUGCUGCUAGACGGCCAUCUUGGAUCUCUCUCGAAAAAUCCACAUUCUAUAGAAAACCCCCUUCCCCCUUUGUUUUUCUUCCUUUUUUUCCAGAUCCAGGAGAUAAUCAGCUAGGAGCCAGGCACCCUUUUAGGUCCAGUAAGAAACAUUUGACAACCUGCUCUCUCUGGUGUCCGCUAUCUGAGUGAUUUCUCUGCACAAUAAAACUUGCUCUCCAUGAUCCUUUAUCUUAACU
rnacentral:lncRNA from 13 species